rnacentral:rRNA from 1 species
AGGGAAUCUUCCACAAUGGACGCAAGUCUGAUGGAGCAACGCCGCGUGAGUGAAGAAGGUCUUCGGAUCGUAAAGCUCUGUUGUUGGUGAAGAAGGAUAGAGGCAGUAACUGGUCUUUAUUUGACGGUAAUCAACCAGAAAGUCACGGGCUAACUACGUGCCAGCAGCCGCGGUAAUACGUAGGUGGCAAGCGUUGUCCGGAUUUAUUGGGCGUAAAGCGAGCGCAGGCGGAAUGAUAAGUCUGAUGUGAAAGCCCACGGCUCAACCGUGGAACUGCAUCGGAAACUGUCAUUCUUGAGUGCAGAAGAGGAGAGUGGAACUCCAUGUGUAGCGGUGGAAUGCGUAGAUAUAUGGAAGAACACCAGUGGCGAAGGCGGCUCUCUGGUCUGCAACUGACGCUGAGGCUCGAAAGCAUGGGUAGCGAACAGGAUUAGAUACCCUGGUAGUCCAUGCCGUAAACGAUGAGCGCUAGGUGUUGGGG